rnacentral:rRNA from 1 species
GACGAACGCUGGCGGCGUGCCUAAUACAUGCAAGUCGAGCGAACUUGCGGGAGCUUGCUCCCAAAAGUUAGCGGCGGACGGGUGAGUAACACGUGGGCAACCUGCCUGUAAGACUGGGAUAACAUCGGGAAACCGAUGCUAAUACCGGAUAAUUCCUUUCCUCUCAUGAGGAAAGGCUAAAAGAUGGUUUCGGCUAUCACUUACAGAUGGGCCCGCGGCGCAUUAGCUAGUUGGUGAGGUAACGGCUCACCAAGGCAACGAUGCGUAGCCGACCUGAGAGGGUGAUCGGCCACACUGGGACUGAGACACGGCCCAGACUCCUACGGGAGGCAGCAGUAGGGAAUCUUCCGCAAUGGACGAAAGUCUGACGGAGCAACGCCGCGUGAGUGAUGAAGGUUUUCGGAUCGUAAAACUCUGUUGUUAGGGAAGAACAAGUGCCGGAGUAACUGCCGGCGCCUUGACGGUACCUAACCAGAAAGCCACGGCUAACUACGUGCCAGCCGCCGCAGUAAAAC